CCUUCGGGAGGCAGCAGGGGGGAAUAUUGGACAAUGGAGGCAACUCUGAUCCAGCAAUGCCGCGUGUGUGAUGAAGGCCCUAGGGUUGUAAAGCACUUUCAACGGUGAAGAUGAUGACGGUAGCCGAAGAAGAAGCCCCGGCUAACUUCGUGCCAGCAGCCGCGAUA
rnacentral:rRNA from 1 species